GCAAGGGAACUCCAAGCAUCAAUUAAGGUGAAAUGCGCAUGCUUGCCCUUAACUUGUAUUUCUUCUACUAGCCCUGACAGCUCUUAGUUAAGGCACAAAAUAUACGAAAAAAGUUUUCUAAUUCUUAGAUAGUCAGCACUUAGCUACUUGAUACGCAGAAUUGUCUAAUACAGAACAUCUUGGAUUGUAUGGAAAAAGUUUAACGAAUUUACGAUUCCCUAAUCUGAUCCUCACAACUUGGAUCUGUGGCUGAAGGUCUGUGGCUGAAGGUAAAUUAGAGAAACAAAGCAGAAGGGAUCAACAAAAGAUAUGAUGUUCUCAAUCCCAUAUCUCAUCAGCCAUAUAAGCUCCUUUAUCACUCUUCUUGAAGGAGAUGUGAUCCUUACAGUAUCACUCUUCGAAGAUCGAUCUUCAGCAGAGGAUUUGGAAGCAGCAGCCUUAACAUGCUUCUUAUAGUACUCAAUAACCUUGGCGAGGAUCUUUCCGGUCACAUUCGGGAGAGGAAUUGGGCAAACAAACACAGAGUCAGAAUCAAGGAAUUUAUUCGAGAGCGUGAGAAAGAAAUGGCUCAGGCAGUGGAAGAAAUUAACCCGAAAAGUAUCUGCCUGUAAAUAAGUGUGAAGCUGCAUUGCCUGCCCUUGAGGGGGAGUACAGCUGAGGUCAAAUUUUGAAGAUUUUGGUAUUGUUUUAAAGCCUAAGAAGGAAAUUGUUGCUAAAUCAGUUGCUCAGAUCAUUCAUGAGCUAUGGGGGAAUGAAACACCUGCUGCAACGCAACAGAUGUUGCAGGUCUAUCAAGCACCUGUUUCAAAGUGGAUAACACUCAAGCAUCGGAGGUUGCAGAAUUGGGGUACUGAAAGAUGGCAUGUUUGCUCAUGUUUACACCAUAGUAUGGCUGCUGAAUCUGUGUUUCUGAACUUUUUUGUUUUCCAGGGGAUGUAGUCCAUGAGAAGGGUCUUAUUGCUCAAAAUUGUUCCUGUUGGAGCAUGCUACUGGCCUAUUGCUAUUCAUAUGAGUAACUAAAUCAACAAUGGUAUAAGCAAGAUAUUCAUAUUAACUCAAUUCAAUUCUGCUUCUCUUAAUCGUCACAUGUACCGUACUUAACAAGAGAAUGGUAUCAACUUUGGAGAUGGACUUGUCAAGGUUUUGGCAGCUACACAAACACAAGGAGAAACCAGAAAGAACUGGUUCCAAGGAACGACUGAUGCUAUCAAGCAAUUUAUAUGGAUGUUUGAGUGCUGUUGCUGGGAUACCUUACUAUUUUAAUGAAGAGCAGAUGGGAGAGCUGCUGUAAUAAUUUGGGAUCCAUCGGUGACUGAUAUUGCCUGUGAUGCCUUCAAUGGCUUGAAAAUGGACGAUAAAACUUUAAUUGUUAGAAGAACUGCUGCUUAGAUGUAUGAUGUAUUAUGUAUAUGACCAUGUUCAAGUUGAAAAUAAUGUCUAUUUUUGCUAAAUUAGACUUAGUUGAAUCAUUGUGAAUGGUCAUAUAUCCGGUAAAUUUGAAAAAUACAGAUGCUUGAG